rnacentral:rRNA from 1 species
GACGAACGCUGGCGGCGUGCUUAACACAUGCAAGUCGAACGGAAAGGCCCUGCUUUUGUGGGGUGCUCGAGUGGCGAACGGGUGAGUAACACGUGAGUAACCUGCCUUUGACUUUGGGAUAACUUCAGGAAACUUGGGCUAAUACCGGAUAUGAGCUCCUGCUGCACGGUGGGGGUUGGAAAGUUUCGGCGGUUGGUGAUGGACUCGCGGCUUAUCAGCUUGUUGGUCGGGUUGUGGCUUACCAAGGCUUUGACGGGUAGCCGGCCUGAGAGGGUGACCGGCCACAUCGGGACUGAGAUACGGCCGAGACUCCUACGGGGGGCAGCAGUGGGGAAUAUUGCACAAUGGGCGGAAGCCUGAUGCAGCAAAGCCGCGUGCGGGAGGACGGCCUUCGAGUUGUAAACCGCUUUCGCCUGUGACGAAGCGUGAGUGACGGUAAUGGGUAAAGAAGCACCGGCUAACUACGUG